UUUAGCGGCAUUCGUGCGAGCAAUUGUUCAUUUUACAACCCUGUAACCCUCGUUAAAUUGCUUUUCCUUAAUUUUGUUGUCAUAAUUUGACGUGGGACCAUGUCGAGUAACUUAUUUCCGUCAGUCAAAGUUCGGUCUCUUUUCGCGUUUCGUCAUUACAGUCGCGUUUAACGAGCGAUUCGUUCGUAGCCACAAGCAUGGGUAACGGCUGUAUCGUAUCUCAUAAUGGCUGAACCUCGUUAGGGACGCUGAUCAGUGUUUCGAUCAAUGUUAGAAAUGCCGCCCCUACGACCGCAGCGCAGUUUACGACGAACGCUAAAAGUUUUAAGAGCUGAAUUCGUAAUCAACUCAAUAGUAUCAGGGGAAGUAAGUGUCAAUUUAUCGCUGAAAAGCCACCGAUGUUUUCUCAGCCAAGACAAAUAUUUAUUCAUUUUAACCACUAUUUCUAGCUCUCAGAGCACCGACCGAUUCUGUGCAUUAUACAAUAUAUUUAGCAGUAAACUAUUGUUUAAUCCGAGUUUUAGUAAAUAUUUAUUCUUGUUUAAUUCUUGAUAUAUCAUCUUGUGAGGUUGGACUUGGCACAGCUUGGGUGUUUUCGGAAGCUUUAAUUUAUUUUUGGAAAUACAUUUUUGCGCAUUUGAUCAAAGAAACCCCAAGCCACAGAUCUUUCCGGUUUCUUUGUGGACUUUUUGUUAAUAAAAUUAAAGGAAAAAUAUAGAGCUGGGAAGUCGCACACACAGAGUUGACUUCAAUGUUGUUGGCAAGCUACUAGUUAGAACUCGUCUUCGCCUUUUAUGAAGGUAAACUCAAUAGAUCUUUUACCACAAUAAAAAAUUAUAAUACCACGUAAAAUGAGCAAGAACUAUUAAGUGUUGACAACAUAAUUAUCAAGCUAUUUUAUCUAUAUACAGCGGACGAUAAGUUGCCUUAUAAGACAACAGAAAAGCAUUCCCAAAUCGAACUACGAAGCAACAGGAUGUUUAACUAUCUUUUCUCACUUUUCUUCUUACUGUUUGCUAAGGGAGACUAACCAGGGGUUACAAACUGGCAACAAAGCUAACUUAAAUCAAGAACACUGACUUUAUUUUCUUUACAUUAAAGCUAUGGGUCAUUAUAUUUUUAGGUUAAAACUACGUAUCUGGAGCUAUUCAAUAAACUCUAAACUUAAUAAACUCAUCGUUUCUCUUUCUUUUCACCGCUACCUUAUCGUUAAAUGACCUGUUUUAUUGUCGGGAGCGUAUAACUCGUUAGUCACCGGAUUCGGGAACUGAAAAAAGAGACCCGAACAUCAGGAAAUGAGUACUUUCCACCCUCGGCGAGUAAUGUUUGAGUAGGUUAGUUAUUGUGUUUUUUUCCCUCGUGACAAACUACAACUGAAGUUAACAGUUUUCACAAGUUCACAUAUAAAUAUCACUUGGUAAGGCGACAAAACGUUAAUGAAAGUCCUCUGUUUGGAGUGGUUAUAACAACUAAAUUAUGUCGAGGUUUGGGGGGUAAAUUCUCUUUAAUUAAUUAUUUAGUUGGAAUUUUUAGUACCACGGGUUAAGAGCUUGUAUAUUGCAAUCAUCCGAUUAUAAGACUUCUAGUAGAAAUCAAGUGUUCUCAGCUGCUAUGAUAAUGCAAUCACUUAUCAUAAGUCUGUUUUUUACACCAAUCCGACUCAACGCACGAAUCACAAGUCAAAAUAAAACGGGAAUUUUAGUGGAAAGAAAAAAAACUUUACUUAACAUGUGAUAGGAGAAGUGAAUACUCGAGCAGACGUCAUGUCUUGACUUCGACAAAGUUGGCACAUUUGUCUGUAGUCUGUAGGUCUCUAACUAGAAUGUAUUUUUGAAUGAGAUGACAUUUUAGGGAAGAGAUGGGGUAGUUGUUGUUUUAUUAGAACUGUUAGAGUGUCGAAUAAAGGUAAGUGCCGAGGUGUUGGAGCGAAACUGACAAACGGUGGAAGCGACGAGAAGUGACAUCCAUUUAAGAUAAAACGAUAAAGUGUCUCAAGGGAUAAGACGACUGUUCUGACUCUUUUACGAACCUCUAGACACAGUGCUGAGUCGAUUUAAGGCUUCAUUGGAAUCACAGAAAGGAUAUAACAUCAAUAAAGAAUCGGGGUGAAAAUUUAUGAUUCUAAGCAAAGGGCAAGCCAGAUCAACCUCAACGCCCGUGCUUAAAUCAAAACCCACAGAAUUCAUAGACAGAUGUACCCUAUUUAACCUUUUUGCAAUAAACUGGGUUUAUUUUGUUUGUUGCUUGACUUAAAAAGCGUUGUUUGGCGUCUUGUUUGAGGGCAGACCUCAAAUAAAGCCGGUGUCAAACAUGAUGCCGGAAACUUCAACACCGCUAUAUGGACGAGAUAAUCCCGCUAAAUUAUGCCGCUUUUUUACCGGAUUUCAUGUGACAUAUACCAUGUCUAUAGCAUACAAAGCAACGGGAAAAAUUACCUUAAUAAAUAUUGGCUAGACUCAAAGCACGCAAAAGGAUACGACAUUUGCUUAACGUGUCCGACUACACUUUUGUUCACAAGGAAAAUGUGAACAAAAGUAAAUAAGUGUAAGAGUUACUUAGAAAUGAAGUGGUUAGUUUUGAUAUCAAGAAUUAUAAUUCAAAAUCAUCCCAGCUUUCGGUAUGAAAAAUGUGACGCUAGCAGCAAACAGAAAGAAGGUUGAGCUUUCUUGUAACAGUAGUUUAUGCAUUGUAUACACAAUAUCAGCAAAUUUUUCCCCAUAAAUCUCUUUUAUUAAUAUUCAAAACAAAAAUUGGGAUAGUUUUCGUAAACUGGUAUGGAUAAACUGAGCUCACGAUGCAAAAAAAAUGUGGGCUUGACUGGGUUAACCCACGUUGUCAUGAUGUGUCUAUAAGGUCUCCAACAGGUCUUGCCAUUCACAAAAACGUAGCGGAAAACACUGGGGAUUCAACGCCCAAAAUUCAACAAAAUUCUGGAAUUCUUGUCAUUCUCCUUUAGGUAUGUCCACAGAUGUACACAACGCAAGCACUGACAGGUUUAAUGUCAACUUGUGUAUUUACUUCUUCGAUAUUGGAGUCAAGCGUUCAACCCAGACCCGAAGACGCCCGUUCACCGUGUUCCAUUUUAGAUGUCUCCAAACAUUUGACAACACUUUUUGACAUGUUCCGGAUAGAGCACAGAAUCACAUCCCUAACCCACUAAACAGAACGACUCGUAAAUGCUAAGGAAAUUUUUUGACCAACACUGCCUCGGCAAUGAUGGAAACUUGUGGCGUAGAAACACCACACAUUGUCACGUUCAAAAAAGUUUGUCACCCCAUCUAAAUAUUAAUACUUGUGUAUUUAUGAAAAAAAUGGACAGGAUUUCCUACGAUUUUUCCGGGGGUUGAUUUUGAAUGGUUGACAAAUAGUGUGAGAUGUAUUAUUUUAUUGCGGAUAGGCGAAAAACUAAUAUUUAUUUAAAGAAUUUAGCAAAGGGGUUUGGUGUAUUAUGACACUUUUAGUGCACGCCUGGCAAACAUAUAAAGACGUUGAAAAAGGAAAAUGAAUAAAAAAAUACAAAGGGCAAAAAAAGAAAGGAAAGGGUAAGAAAAAAGAUGAAAGCACUUUUCUCUGCAAGAGCUAAAAACAAACAUUGAAAACAUAAUUCUUACUGCUUUGUGAACCAAGCAUUCACGAUGGAAAAGGGAUGAGAUCAGACAAAUUUUGUUAAAAUUACAAAACUAAGGACUUUAUUGCCAAAUUAAAGACUAGAAAAGUCUCCAACAGACACAAGCAAUUCCAAAGAUUUGUUUUAUUUAAUAAAAGGCUGGUUCAAUGAAAAUACAGCGAAUUAAAAUUUAUGCUAAAGAGUUUACAAUGUGUAUGGGGACAGCGAGUGUAAACAAGAGUUAGUCCAUAGACGAAAUCAUUUUGAGUGCCAAUUCCAAAACGCUUCAGCAAAAUGCCCUUAACUACUCAAGGCUAUACGAAUUGGCUCAUAUUGUAGCCAUCAACCCGUCAUGUUGGUCUCCCCUUGCGCUUAAGUAUCGAUUUAAGAUGGCGACAAAUUUCUCAAAAGUUAGUAUCUGGUAGCAUGGGAUAGGCGACAGAGUCCGGAAAUUCUACUCUACAUGCUCAAAAAAUUAUCCUUAAAUCGCAAUAAAAUAACGAGAGCUUGUCACAGGGGGGCUACAACACAGAGCUAAGCAAUCAGUGAGUUUAAUAAUUUCACAGUGUUCCGUCGCAAUAGGCUUUUGGUUCUCACAGCAGAGAGCGAUACAUCAAUCUAAAUUCUCGUCAGAACUAUACCUCUGCCUAGCAACUCUGGUCGGAAUACUGGCACGGCUAUUCUUGAAGUAUAAGCGUCCCAAAAGUCUUGCCUGGACUAAGUCAUAGCGCGCAGUUGUUGCUCUCUAGAGCAAUUAUUCGCGGCGAGGCAAAAUCCUCGGUCAAGCUACUUUCUGCGGCAUAGAAUCGGUGGGACGUGUUUACUCAAACAGCCACUCUCCUGUAGCUACCUUCAAUAAAAUCCAACGGUUACCCACAUUUAUUGACAUUAUAUAGGCAUUUUAGACCGCAAAACAGAGUUUAGAAGUUCUUUACACUCAAUAGGGAUAAAGCACACCCUAAUAACAAUUUGAGAAUUAAAAUGGCUUGAAGAGAAAAGAGUAAUACUCAAAGAAGAAGAAAGAGAAGAAAAACACAUACAUAACCAUUGAAUCAUUGCCUCAAAUCUUCUUUCCUCUGAUUAAAAAC